UUACGGUUAUAUCUCAUUGAAACACCGGAUCCCGUACGAUCUCCGAAGUUAAGCAACGUCAAGCCUGGUCAGUACCUAGAUGGGUGAACGAUAGGGAAUGCCAAGUGCUAU